CCCAACCCACCCCGCUAAUCACGCCCUCUCCAUCCCCGUCGCUCCUCCUUGCCCAUCCGCACCAUCCGCAUCGUGCCGCCCUUCCCAUGCUCUCUCCCCCUCCGCCCCUAUGCCCUUUGCCUCCGCAGGGAGGAGGUUCUCCUUCGGGGAUGGCAGUGCCGCGACCGGGGACGGGCACGCUGAGCAAGGGAGCGUGGAGAUGGAGGCGGAUCGGGGACGGGAUCGCGCAGAUGAACGCGGGCAUCGCGUGGAGAUGGCGUCGGCCGGGGGCGGCAGCGACGACGGUCUCUUCCCCGGCAUUCAUCUCCUUCGGAUGCCUUCUCUCCGGUAAUCUCAAUUACUCUGCUGGCCGCCGUGUACGCCACGUCCUCGCCGUGCUGGUGGCGGAACAGAAGCAGCAGCCUCGACGGCGGGCGGGUGUACCGGAUGGCGCCUCUGCAGGAGGUGGUCGCAGGGUACCCGCUCGCAGACUGCGCCAUCUGCAUCGCGGAGGUCGCCGCGGGGGAGGCCGCCCCCAGCUGCCCGCUCUCCCGCCGCGCCGUCGUCGACGAGGAGGCGGCGGUGGCGGCGUGGUGCCCCCGCGGGCUGUAGCACCGGCACCCACAAACUAGGCUGAUGGCCUAUUGCCGGUGGCUGGGGAUGAACAGACCAUCCUUGAGAAGCCAGAUACCACCACUUCCCACAGGAACGGCUUGACAAUCUCUGCAGGUAGUUCCCUCUCUCGCUUUAGGGAAACUAUGUUUUCUUCACGUUUCUGAAUCAGUGUGAGCAGUCCACAUAUUAGGCUCUGUUAAAAUGAUAUAGCAUUCCUCAACAUGCAUCUGUGUUCAUAUUAAAUUGAUUAUAUUACAUUGUUGCAUAUUAUGGCUGUGGAAUUGGGAGCAUAUAGCAUUUUAGAGUUCACUCAUUUGCACACGCACUUUUCAAAUAAGAGAUAACUGCUCCUCUGUUGCAAAAAAAAAAGGUUGGACAAUGUCACUACUGUCAAAGAUACAACAUCUGAGGGUGAAAUCAGAGCAACUGCUUAGCUUCUAUGUCAAGAAUUUAACAAGUGUUCUUUAUUUAGGACUACUUUGUGGCCACAGCUCAUUGGAAAAAAAUACACAAUGUUUUUCUUCAAGGUUGGCAACUUGGCAUUAUUGGGAGCACCAGCCUUUGGCUUGCUGUUGUGUUUGGUUAGAGUUGCUCAGUUGUCUGAUUGCCUGGUUUUGUAAUUGAUCGUUUAUUGAUGAAAGAUUUAUUGUGUUCCAUUGGUUCAACUUUUCGGCACAUAAUAAAUUCAGUUAUGCUACUGUUAUUCCUCUGAUCCCGUGUUUCUGAAGAUCAAGCGUUUCCAUUUUGCAGGUUAACAUUUUCUAUUCCUCUUUACCACUGAUGUUAACAUUUUCCCCAUUAUAUUUGCAAACUUUUAAGUUGACAAGCCAAUCUAACUUUUUUUUAGUUUCUUAAUAUCAUGGGUUUGAUAAAUGCUUUCUAUUCUUUUGUUCUCUGUUACGUGGUAGACUUAGCAAUUUGCUUACUUAAAUCUGCAUCUGUUGAAUAUUUUAUAACAUACUUGUAUAUUUAAUGUCAGAAAUUAAAUGACUGAAGAUGAUCUGAAAGUUAGAAUUUGUUAUCUUCCACAUCUGCAGUAUAUGCUAUGCUGCUUAUUGUCCAUAAAUAGCAUGGCUGCCAGUUACCAAAUGGUAAAGCUGGAUUUGUAGACAGCUUGUGAUUGGUCAUACUCAUACACUGUAACGACCUUGUUUAGAGGAUCUACACCUUCACGGCAUGCCUGUUUGCCGGACUCGCCUUGACAAUCUUGGUACGCUUCUGCAAUUUAUUGCCAACACGGUUCUCAGAGUUUGUAGGGAAAAAAUGAGAAGGGACAGGUUUUUUGAAUUGGGCUCAACCUUGGAACCAGGGAAACCUGUAAAAAGCUGACAAAGCUGCUAUCCUAAGCGAUGCUACUCGCAUGGUUAUUCAGAUUCGCUCUGAAGCGCAGCAGCUCGAGGACACCAAUGGUAAUCUUGAAGAAAAGAUUAAGGAACUAAAGGUCGCGGUCGUGAUGAGAAGCAGAAGCUGAAACUAGAGGAGAGUUUAGAGCACCAAAUGAAGCUUAUGACCUCAACUCCAGCCUACAUGCCUUAUCCAACCCUGAUGCCAGCGCCCUUCCUGCAGGCUCCGCUAGCACUGUUCCAUCCCAGGCGAAAGCUGCAGGGCAGAAGCUGACGGUGCCCUUUGUUGGCCAUCCAGGAUACCCAAUGUGGCAGUUCAUGCCACCUAUUGAAGUCGACACCUCGAAGGACAGUGAAAACAAUUAGACUUAUGUAGAGAAAUUUGAUUAGAAUUGUAAUAUUACAUUUUAAUUUUAAUUUAAUUAGCUAUGCAUGGCAAGUAUCAUCUCCUGUCUUAUACAGGAAUUAGCUUUACCACUUCUUUCCUAUUUGCAAUAAUUUAAACAUACAUUAUGUUUUUCCUAAAUUAGCACUACCUUUUUUAAUCGUAA